rnacentral:rRNA from 1 species
UACGUAGGGUGCAAGCGUUGUUCGGAAUUAUUGGGCGUAAAGCGCGUGUAGGUGGUUAGCUAAGUCGAUUGUAAAAGCCCUAGGCUCAACCAAGGAAGUGCAUUCGAAACUAGCUAACUAGAGGAUGGCAGAGGAAGGUGGAAUUCCAAGUGUAGAGGUGAAAUUCGUAGAUAUUUGGAGGAAUACCGGCGGCGAAGGCGGCCUUCUGGACCAUUCCUGACACUGAGACGCGAAAGCGUGGGGAGCAAACAGG